GACUUGUAGGGAGGGUGGUAAACAGUUGUUUGCAGGCCUGACUGCUCUGGAGGAUCUAAGGGUCAGGGCCUGGUUAAGGAGCCUUCUGGGGGUAAAGCUGGCCUGUGUUCUGGUAGUCCGACUGCUUCCAGAAGUCUGGGCCCAGCACUCUGGCUUUCCAUAGCCUGUCCUACUGCUCAGGAACUCCCAUUGCAACUUGGGUGUGCUUGUGCCUUGCUCUGGAACUUUCUAAAAACAGCUUCAUUGAGGUAUACUUUACAUGCCAUAAAAAUCAUCCAUUGUGAGUGUACCGUUAGAUGACGGUUAGGAAAUAUAUACGGUCACGAUCCAGCUCUAGGACGUCAUGUCACUCCAGAAAGUUCCCUCCUACCUCUUUGCAAUAAAUCCCCACUCACAUUGUCAGCCUCAGAAACCUACUGAUUCACUUCCUGUUUCUAUAGUUCUGCCCUUUCAUUUUGUAUAAAUGAAAUCAUGCAAUAAGUAAUCUUUUGUGUCUGGCUUCUUUAACUUUUUACCACUUACCAUCAAGUCGACUCAGACUCAUGGUGACUCCAUGUGUGUCGGAGUAGAACUGCGCUCCAUAGGGUUUUCAAUAGCCGAUUUUUGGGUCGUAGAUCGCCAGGCCUUUCUUCCAAGGUGCCUCGGGGUAAACUCAACCUCUAACCAUUUGGUUAACAGCCGAGUGCAUAGCCAUUUGUACCACCAGGGACUCCGUCUUUAACUCAGCAAAUGUUUUUGAGGAUAUGGCUCUACAACGUUGUGUUUAUCCAUCGCCAGCUCAUGAGCAUGUGGAAUGCUUCCACAUGUUGGCUAUUUCAAAUAAUGCCACUGUGAACAUCUGCCUACAAGUCUUUACGUGGGCGUGUUUUCACUUCUCUUGGGUGAGUAUCUAGGAGUCACACGGUAAGUGCCUGUUCAUUUUUUUAAGAAAUGGCCAAACAGUUUUCUGAAGUGUUGUACCAACCAUUUUAUAUUUUCACCAGCAAUGUAUAAAGGCUUCAGUUUUCCACUUGUUCUCCAGCACUUGUUAGUGUCUGUCUUUUUUAUUAUAGCCAUUCGACUGGGUGUGUAGGGGUGUUUCAUUGUGGCUUUAAUUUGCAUAUCUCUAAUGACAAAUGAUGUUGAGCUUCUUUUCAUGGGCUUAUUAGUCAUUCUUUGGUGAAAUGUCUAUUCAAAUCUUUUAUGUAUUUUUCUUUAUUGGGUUGUUCGUCUUAUUACUGAGUUGUAAAAGUUCUUCAUAUAUUCUCAGUGCAAGCCCUUUAUCAGAUAUAAAGUGUGCAGGUAUUUUCUGCCAGCCUGUGGUUUGUCUUUUCAUUUUCUUAAAGUCUUUUGAAGAGUAAAAGUUUUCAUUUUGAUGAAGUCUCAUUCAUCAGUUUUUUUUUUUUUUCUAUUAUGAAUUGUGGUUUGGUGUCAUAUCUUAGAAACCUUUGCUUGACUUAAAGUCACAAAGAUUUUCUCUUAUGUUUUAUCUAGAAGUUAUCUAGUUUUAGCUCUUAUAAUUACAUCUAUGAUACGUUUUGAGCUGAUUUUGUGUAUGGUGUGAGGUAAGGAUCUGAGCUCUUUUUUUUUCUCUUAAAUCUUUCUUCAUAUGGAUAUCCAGUAAUUCCAGUAUCGUUUGUGGAAAAGUCCACCCUUUCCUCAAUGAAUUGUCUCAGCAUUUCGUCCAAAAUCAGUUGACCAUAUACGUGUGAAUUUAUUCCUGAAUUUUCUAUUCUGUUCCAUUAAUCUCUAUGUCUAUCCUUUGUACCGACACCACACUGUCUUGAUUACUGUAGCUUUAUAGUAAAAUUCGAAAUCCAAUAGAGUAAGACCUCCAGCUUUGUUCUUGUUUUUCAAAAUUGUUUUGACUAUUCUAGAUUAUUUUCAUUCCCAUAUAUAUUUUAGGUCAGUUUAUCAAUUUCUUAAAAAAAAAAAAACCGACAAACAAAAAUCCUGCUGAGAUUUUGAUAGAGAUUUGGUAGGAAUUUUGAUGGCCAUUUGGAGAAAAUUGCCACUUUAACAAUAUUUUUUUUCUUGUGCUUUAGGUGACGGUUUACAGAGCAAAUUAAUUUCUCAUGAAACAAUUAAUGCACAUAUUGUUUUGUAACAUUGUUGCCAACCCCACGACAUGUCAAAACUCUCCCCUUCUCAACCUUGGAUUCCCCGUUAUCAGCUUUCCUGUUCCUUCCUGCCUUCUUGUCCUUACUCCUUAGCUGAUGUGUCCAUUUAGUCUUGUUUUGUUUUAUGGGCUUGUCUAGUCUUUGCGUGACAGGUGAAUCUCAGGAGUGACUACAGUACUGAGUUAAAAGGGUGUCCGGGGGCCAUAGUCUUGGGGUUUCUCCAGUCUCUGGCAGGCCAGUAAGUCUGGUCUUUUUUUGUGAGUUAGAAUUUUGUUCUGCAUUUAUCUCCAGCUCUGUCAGGGGCCCUCAUUGUGAUCCCUUUCAGAACAGUUGUUGGUGGUAGCCAGACACCACCUAGUUGUGUUGGACUCAGCCUAGCGGAGGUUUUAACAAUAUUGAGUCUUCUAAUUCCUGAACAUUUACUUAGGUCUCCAUUUAUUCAGGUCUUGUUUAAUUCCUUUCAGAAAUAUUUUUGUAGUUUUCUGUGUACAUUUCUUUUAUUAAAUUUAUUCUGCAUGCUUUAUUCUUUUUGAUGCUAUUGUGAAUGAAAUUGUUUUCUUAAUUUUGUUUUCAGAUUGCUCAUUGCUAGUAGAUAGAAGUACAACCAGUUUUUGUAUGUGGAUCUUGUAUGCUGUGGUGGUCUUAAAAUCAAAAUGUUUUGAUCCUCCUCUUAUUGAGAGAUGAGAUCUAUGGCCCUACCUCCGAGUUUGACUCUGUGAAUUCUUGACUAAUAAAAUAUGGCAAAACUAACUCUGUCAACUUCCAGGCCCAGCCCUUAAGAAACAAGCAGCUUCCACUUCCUGUCUCUGGGAAUUCUUGCUCUUGGAACCCAGCCACCAUGCUGUGAGGAAGUCUUCACAAACCGUGGAGAGGCCUGUGGCAGUCUCCAUGGAGAGGAAUCCAGGCCUUCAGCCUUCAGCUUCAGCUGAGCUCCUAGUUUUCAGCAGUACUGAUUUGCCGGUCAUGGGAGUCAGCCAUCUUGGAAGUGGACUCUCCAGCCUUGUGGAGCAGAGAUGACCCUUCCUUGCCACGCUUUGCCUUAAUUGCAAUUUGUGAGCAAAAGAACAUGACCAUGCGAGUCUGAGCCACUAAGUUUUGGGAUGGCUGUUACAUAGAACUAGAUAACUGGAACAUUUGCCCUCUGAGUCCGAUUAAGUACUCAAAUUAGAAAGAAAGUGAAAAAGAAAGAAAGAAGUAAGGGGGAAAGAAAGAGGGAAGGAAGAAUGAGAAAAGAAGGUAGGAAGGAGGGAAGGAAGGCAGGAAGGAGGGAAGGAAGGCAGGAAGGAGGGAAGGAAGGCAGGAAGGCAGGCAGGCAGGAAGGAGGAAGAAGAAAGGAAGAAAGACUAAACUAUGUGAUGCAAUUUUGAGUACCCUCUCUGUGUUAGUCUCUGUGUCUUGAUCAUCAUAGUUAGACUAGCUCACAGACACAGUGGCCCUGCCACAAACACAUUGCCAUGUGUGUGACCUUGGGCACGCCAUUCUACCUCUCUGGGCCUCAGUCUCCCCAUUUGUACAAGCGGGCACUUGAUUCUCUCUGCCAUGACCCAGGAGAAAGGCUGAGGCAGACUUCCCUCCUUCCUACCUGGGCUGAAGCUGGGCAGGGGGGCACUGUGUCUGGAGCUGGCUGGCACUUGGGGUUGCCCUCAAGGAAAAUCAGUGGCUGUGGACCCUUAGUCACCUUAGAAGUCUGACUGAGUCUUUGAAAAUCACGUGCUGAGGGAGGAGGAGGAGAGGAAAGGUUGAAAACACUACGAGGAGGAACCAUAAUCAUUAAUUUGUGUUGUUUUGCUUUUCUCUUGAGGUUUUUGACUUGAGUGAGAAGGAGAGGAAGAAAGCAGACCCUGGGGUGUUGGGGAGGACAGGAUGAGCAGAGGAAAGAUGGGUCCCCAGUGUCUGCCCCCGAGAGAGCCUUGCUGAGCAAGGGAAGAGGCACAGGCAGAGAGAGGCAACACUGGCAACCUCGGAGCCAGGGAGCCACUGGAUGAGCCCACUGCUUUCUCAGGAGAAGAGAGGGCUCUGCCGAGGAGUGCAGGUGGGGUUAGGUCUCUGUGGGGCUCUUCUGGGGCAGAGGCAAAAGUUGGGGUCUUCAGUCCAGAGGGCAGAACUGGAGGAGGCUCAGCAUAAGGACGCGAGUGCCCGUCACAGCAGGUCUGAGAGGAGGCUGGGCAGUGCCCACUGGGCCCACAGUGGGGGAGCGGGGUGCCAGAUGAGGGCUGGGCUGAGUGAUUCUCAGCUUUCUCCCAGCCCCAAGAGGCUGAUUUGGGGGCUGCAAUGUGAGAACAGAAGCCUGCAGGCUCAGCCUCACCAGCAGCUCUGUGAGCCCUCCUCAUCCCCACUUUGGGCACAGCCUUCCUGGACCGUCCUAGACUGUUCCCUUGGAGCCAGGGACUCCUGUGCUGCCCUGCCCUCCCCCCACCCCCAAGGGAGAGCAGUGGUCAUGAUGCUCAAGGUCAGGCCUGUUCGUUUGGAGUUGUCCGGAGAGCAAAGCCCCAGGCUGCUGCUGGAAAGCUUGAAGCCCCUGCUACUCACAGUGUGGCUUGCUGACCUGCAUCACCUGGGAUUACUUAGAAGUGGAGAGUCUCAGCUGCCCCUCCACCCAGACCCACUGAAUCAGAGUCUGCCUUUGACCAAGAUCCCCAGGAUCCCGGGCCCAGCAGAGUGUGAGCGGCUCUGGGGUAAAGCCGAUGUGGUCUCCAGGAUCUGUCUCCUGAAAGCACUUCACUAAGCGUCUCUGAAAUCGGGACGCUUUCCUCCAGAGUCACCAGGCCAUUAUCACAGCUGCUGAAAUACGCAAUAACUCCCAAGAACCUGUUCUAAUUCCCAUUUUGAAAGGUGGAAACAGAGUUUAUGCCCCCUGCCCCAUUCGAGCCUAGACCCAUCUGCCUGCAAGCCCUUCUUCCCCUUCUCCUUAUUCAGAGCUACUGUCCCCAAAUUGCAGAGGGGACAGCUAUGGCCAAUGUUUCCCCUUUUAUGAGGGGCAGCCGGAGCCCUUGGCAGGUGCUUUGUAGACACCAAGAUGCACGGCUGCUCACUCCCUCUCUGAAUGACUGGGGUAGUGGUGGCAGCGCCUCCCACAAAGGCCAGGCUCUCCCUCUCGCACUAUGGUGGGAGAACAGUGGGGAUGGCUGGAAUGUUGUCCUUCAUAGAGCAGCCAGGGUGGGGCAGGCCUGCCCCCAGACCCUUGGUCACUGGGGUGCUGUGCCACCCUGGGCCAGGACUUCCCCCUCUUUCUUCCUUCUCUGGGAAGCUGGGGGCGGGGGAUCUGUGGGCCUCCAUCACAAUGCCCAGCUAGGGGCCAUUCUGGGGUCUUGCAUGGUGGUGUCCGCUGAAUAGCCCCUGCCUUUCCCCCUUGCUUGGCCACCUGAACUCCAGGAGGAAGCUGGCGAGGAGAGGGGGACCGAACUAGGAGUGAUUACCACAGGACCCAUCUCACAAACAGUCGAGAGGACUGAAGGUGCCAUCGAGUCGGUUCUGAGUCACAGUGACCCCAUGUACAACAGAACGAAAUACUCCCUGGUCCUGUGCCAUGCUCACAAUCACUGCUAAACUUGAGCCCAUUGUGGCAGCUACUAUGUAAAUCCAUCUCAUGGACAGUCUUCCUCUUUUCUGAUGACCCUCUACUUUACCAAGCAUGAUGUCCUUCUCCAGGGACUUGUGCCUCCUGAUAACAUGUCCAAAGUACAUGAGAUGAAGUCUCACUAUCCUCGCUUCUAAGGAGCGUUCUGGCUGUACUUCUUCGGAGACAGAUUUGUUCGUUCUCCUGGCACUCCAUGGUUUAUUCAAUACUCUUCACCAACACCAUGAUUCAAAGGCAUCAAUUCUUCUUUGGUCUUCCUUAUUCAUUGUCCAGCUUUUGAUGUGUGCGAGGUGAUUGAAAAUACCAUAGAUUGGGUCAGGCACAUUUUAGUCCUCAAGGUGACACCUUUGUUCUUUAACACUUUAAAGGGGUCUUUUGCAGCAGAUUUGCCCAAUGCAAUGCAUCGUUUGAUUUCUUGACUGCUGCUUCCAUGGGUGUUGAUGGUGGAUCCAAGUGAGACAAAAUCCUUGACAACUUCCAUCUUUUCUCUGUUUAUCGUGUUGUUGCUUAUCAGUCCAGUUGCGAGGAUUCGAUUUCACCGUGCAGGUCUUUUAAGCUGGAGGGUGGCUGGUUUGGGUGUGAGUUGUAAAAGAUGGUUCUGUCAGUAGGGUGGUGGCUGACUCAGGGUGAGCAAAGACGAGAGGCAGGGAGACAGUUGCAUAACCCAGGCAGACGAUGACGAGGGCUUGGCCUUAGGUUGUGGUGGUGGGGACAGAGGGAGAAGGAUGACUUGAGAAACACUUUAAGGUCAAGUUGUCAGGACCCAGUGACUGAAUGGAUGUGCCGGGUGAAAGAAAGGAGGAGUCAAGUGGUGGCCUUGUCAGCUGGGACACGUGGAAAAAUGAUUCCCAAACAACUUCCAGCAAGAAUAUUCCAUCCAGUUCCCUCUCGUCUACCACCAGCACCACCACCGUUUUACAAACUGGGGAACUGAGGCCAGAGAUGGUAAGCCGUUUGCCCAGGGCCCUGCAACAGGACAGUGGCAGAGCUGGUGGCAGCAGCAUCAGGUGUGACACCAGGGUGCCCUUUCCUGUCUGUGCAUGAGGCAGCCUGGCUAGGCUCCUACUGCCUGCCGGGGAGUGUGCUGAUUGCGUGUUCUCCUUGGCCGGGCGGCCCCAUUUUACAGAUGAGGAAAACUGACUUGGCCAUGAUCUUGUUCAAAGGGCUCUCACACCCCAGAUCACACAGAGCUGAGACUCUGGCUGGAGCCGGAGCCCAGGCUGUGAGCUUUGCUUCACGCUGCUGGGAAAUUCCAGGUGUGCAGCCGCUCUCCCAGGAGCAAAGUUCAUUCAGACUGCAACUUAAAAAAGGAAACUUUAUAAACAGGGUUCCGUGCAGAGGCCCGGGGGACAGCCUCCCCCAGUGGCCACCCACUCGGGGCUCCCUGCCCUGAGCACCGUGCUCACGGUGGCAGGCUGGCUGGGGCCCCUGGCUAGGCAGCCCUCCCCCUGCCCUUCUCCAGCCCUGCUGACACAGGCUCCCUCCUGGCCUCUCACCUCCCAGGCCCUCUCCGCCCUCCCGCUGGCAGCCUGCGGUAACAAGAUGCCCUUUGUGUGUGGUGGCGGGGGAGGGGCUGCGGGUCCCACUGGCUGCCAGGCGGGCUCCUGCUGCUGCUGCUUCUUGCUGCUGAGUCACAGCUCCCGCCAGGCUCUGGGGACAGUGAGCCGCAGGUGACUGGCCAGGUGGCCCUGAGCCCAAGACCUUGGAGAUGACCUCGGGCAACCCCUUCCUUGAGCAGGUGAGGAAACUGAGGCUGAGAGUGGGAAAGGGGCUGCUUCAGGCUUUCCUGUUGGCAAAGGUCAAGAAUAGGCAGUGCCCCCUCCCCACAGUCUAUGGGCUCCCCGGCUUAUCAUGCGGCCAGAAUAGCACCCUCCUUCUUCCCAGAAUGGUCUGGCUUGCCCCCAUGCGUGUGUACACACACUCACAUGAAUGUCUGUGUCUGGGGCACCACCCCCACCACAUGCCCCUGUGCAUUCGGGGUGCAGCUGUUUGUGAGUGUGCGUUUGUGUGAGUCAGCGUGUAGAUGCUCCCCACCCCCUGCACCUUCUUCCAGAGGCACCCAGGUCUGUCCUCAAAUACACUGCCCCUUCCACCUACCUCUUAGGGCUUUCCACGGCAGGAGGCAGCGCGGAGAAGUCCAGCCAGGGCAGCUCCUUACCUGACAAUUCAUCCUCCUGAGCCUCGGGUAGGGUGUCUUUCUGCCCCCUGCACUGUGUUACAGGACUGUCCAGUGGGGACCCACCCAGAACUGUGGUUGCUUGAAAACAUGGGCUCUGGAGCCGGCUGCCUAGGUUGAAACCUGGCUUUCCAUUUCCUGGUUGUGUGACUUGGGCAAGUUACUACCCUCUAAGCCUCCAUUUUCUCAUCUGUAAAAUGGGAAUGAUAGCCCCGCUUCAUAGAGUCGUUAUGGGGAUUAAACAAAGUUCCACAAGCUUUGAGAACAGUUUGUUCUCAAGAAAUACUUGCUAUUAUUAUUGCUGUUAUAAUUAUUAUUCUUGACCCCAAAGGAGCCUGUUGGAGAUGCAAAGGCCUGAAGGUGACUCCGGAGUCUGGAGCCUGAAGCUCUGGCAAUAGUUUCUUGGGUCACUGGCAAGCAGGUACCGAGUGGGGGGGGACGCUCCCUUGGGAAAGUGGCCGGUCUGGGCUGUACCCCCUGGGUGGUGCCACCCUGAACAAUAGCUCCCAGGCCAGGUCUGUGCACACCGCUUCUUGGGCCAAAGAGUGACAGCCAGGCCCCCGGAGGCAGGGCAGGGCUCCUCCCUCUCCGAUUGCCUCCAGAGGCCCUUGCGGGUGGCGGGCUUCCCGUUGCUGCUGCUGUGACGCCCCACCUGGUGCUAGGAGCGCCAUCUGGGCCCAAGAGCUCGGUAAGGAGGCCCGCCGGCCAUCUGCCUGCCUGGCACUGGCUGCUUUCGAAAGGCCAUGGGGUGUCUGCAGGAGCUGGGGCUGCAGGAGGGGGCCUCAGAGGCCAGUUCUCUGACCUGUGCAGCCUAUUAGGCCCUGAGCGGCCUUGGGAGGCCUGGUGCCCAAGGCCAGGUGGACGUCGGUUUCCUGCCCCAAUUCUGCCUGUGCACAAUGCACAUGGACCCGGGGACAGAAAACACAGCUCUUGUACUAGCAUGUGACCUUGGGGAAAUCGAUGCCCCUCCCAGCCUCAGGCUUUCCUGAGCACAGGGGCAGCUGGACCCUGGUGGCCCUGACCUUCAUCCAGUCAGUACAGCCUGGGAAUCCCUGGGGGCUGCAGAAGGUUUUCUGACUCUGACCUUUCCUCCCAGCUCUGAUCCUCGUGGCCAGCUUCCCGGCCAACUCUGGAAUUACACAGAGGCCAAGAUGAUGAGGUAAAGGGCCAGACCAGAGCUGUGAUUCUUCCUCAGGCCCAGCCUUGGCUCCUUACACGUGGACGAAGGUCCCAGGUGACACGAUGCUGAGAGAUCUUCUCUCCAGAGAGUUGGAGGCUGGCUGGGACAGGUUCUCAUUCAUUCAUUCAUGCUUCCUGAGCAUCCAUGUGUGGGGAUGUGGUGGUGAGCACAGCAGUCGGAACUGAGAUGAGUCUGUAACCUGUCCAUUGUAACACAGAGUCAUCAACUCAGAGACGAGGACCUAGCUGGGAACUCAACCCAGCCCGGAGGCCAGGAGAAGCUUCCGGAAAGAUGUGACGACUAAGCUAAGGCCUGAAAGGGAGUUAGUGAGGUAGGGAUUGGGGCGCUGAGGAUGGAGACUCUUGACAAUCACAGCUCCCAUCUCUUCCACGCAGACGCGGGGCUGAGAGCGUUAUAUGCAGUCCCUCCCUCCAUCCUCUGAGCAAGCCAAAGAUCCGGCUGCUGUGACUGUCCCCAUUUUGCAGAUGAAGAAACCAAAGUGCUGAAGGUUAAAGGUCUCAUUUGAAGUGGGUGGAAGGCAAGGACUCAAACCCAGGUGGCCAGGCUCCUGAGCCCGUCCCCUGACUCGUGGCCCCGCACUGCUUUCACUCACGCCAGCUCACCUCAGGCUGCACCCCAGCAGCACCCUGAGUAUGAAUACCUCUCUCAGGAGGCCGAGGGGCACAGGGAUGGAGCCCUGGCCUGCAUGGAGUUAGGGUUAAAGGAUGUUUGCCAGCUCCAUAAGCAGCUGCCAAGAACACCAGGCCCCUCCCAUCUGUGCCUCACCGCCAUCCCUCAAAGGGGCGGUGGGCUUACUGCUUCCCUGUGCCAAUAUGAACCAUAGUGAAACCAGCCGGCAGCUUGACCUGAAGGAGGUUUGGGCUCGGGCAGACCUGGCUUCUCCUAGCUCCACUCUUCACCAGCCAUGUGACCUCGGCUGGAAGGUACUGCACCUCUUGGAGCCUCAGUUUCCCCAUCUGUGAAGUGGGGGCAUUGCCCACUGCCCCUCUGCAGGGUUGCAGUGAGGGUCUAAUGAUGUCAAUAGUCAGCACAGCCUGGGUGCUCUGUCAAUGCUGGUGGUCCUUCUGACAGGCUCUGGGAAUUCCUUAGAGUUGGCUGCUGGGGAAGAGCAAGGAGCAAGCCUAGAGGUGCAUGGAAGAGGUGUGCCAUGGUCUCCUCCUGCUCCUGAUUGCCCAGGAGUGCUUAGUUAGGGGACUUUCCUGCCCCGAGACCCUCAGGCUGUGACUGCCCCAUCACAUGCCCAGAGAGGUCCAGCUGGAAAGAACAUGGCAGGGGCUUACUGAGCUCUGCUUCGUGUGUGUGGGGGUCAACCCAGGUCACUCAGCAGGGCAGUCUGGAUUGGAAUCCAGGUCUGUCCAAUUCCUGUGGCACACUAACUGAGUGAGAGCAGUUUGGAGGGAGGAGCCCAGGGUGUGGGCUGGGAGCCUUCUUGUUCAGGCUCUACCCUCUAUGCCUGUGUGGCCUGGAGAAAGUUACUGAACUGCUGAGUGCCUCAGUUUUUUCAUCUGUAAAACGGGGAUAUCGACGGCACCUCCCUCACAGGAGGCGGUGGCAAUUAAGAGUUUAUGCAGAGUCCCUGGGUGGUGCAAAUUGUUAAUGUGCUUGAUGCUAAACGAAAGGUUGGAGGUUCAAGUCCACCUAGACCUCAAUAGAUAGGCCAGUGAUUGCUUCUGAAUAAUCGACCAUCGAAACCCCUAUGGAGUGCAGUUCUGCUCUGACACACCUGGGGCUGCUAUAAGUUGGCAUCGACUGGUCAGCGACUGAUUUUAUACAUUAACACAGCACGGUGCCUGGUAGUGGUGCAGGCUGGGUAAAUGUGAGCGGCUAGUAUCUCUCAAUCGUGUUCUUCUAAUACGACUGAAGUGCUCAGGGCAGAUCAAUCAAUCUUUUUCUCCUACUCUGCUCAGAAAAUUAGCUGACAAAAGUGUCCCUAAGACUUCCAGAAGCUGAGGUUUCCUCCUCUUCCUUUUUAAAGUCACUCUUUCCUUGCUUAGUUGUCUCCAGAUCUAAUGGAUGAAGGAGCCAAGGGGAAUAAUUGCCAAGAGGACCAAGAGCUGCUUCUACAGAAUCUGAUGGUCAGAACAGUGUGACCUGCAGAGGCAGUGAGCUCUCCAUCACUGGGGGUGUGUAAGCAGGCUGGAUGGCUGCCUGGUGGAGGCCUCAUAGAUGGUACAAGUGUUUGUUGAGUGCCCCCUACCUUCUAGGCACUGCACUGAAAUGUAUCUUUCUCCCUUAAUCCUCAUGGUAACCUUGUGAGAUAGGUAGUUGCUAGCCUGAUUUGGCGGUUGAGUGAAUUGAUGGGGCUUUCCUAUGGUCAUGUGUGAAUAAGUGGUGAAGCUGGAAUUUGAACUCUAGUUUAUCUGACUCCAAAUUCCACCAGGUUCCAUGGUGUUAUGCUCACCAUGAGCUGCGGAUCCUCUGUGCUGAGGUUUUGGGUUGGGAAGAUGUCCCGAGCAGCAAGGGCACUGGCUUCUCUCCUGAAGGAGGGAGUGGAUGGCAGAGCUGCUGGGACGUCAAUCCUUAGCCUGGCCAUGCAGGGCUAGUGUGGCCACUGUGUGACUCUGCUUCUGGCGGCUGCAAGAGCCUAGGGUGGAGCCAGGCAGGCCUUUGAAUUGCUGCCUGUAAUGGGGCUCGGCCAAGGCUUGGUGGCUUGGGGUGGAGGCCACUGGCCCGAGGCCAUGCAGCCACUGGGAGCUGGGAGUGUCAGUGGUGGUCUACAGUGGACAUGCACACCAGCAGGCUCAGCCGUCGGGCACUGUUGGCCCAGCCCUUCGGUUUCUUUCUCUGGGAUGAAUUCACUGGAAGGCGUUGGGCUAAGCUGUUACACGCCCUGCCUCAUGGAUAGUCCUGGACACACUUAAUCCCUCCAGGAUGGCUCAGACCUAGGGGCACUUAGAGACUGCUCCCUCCCCUCUAUGGGGAGUUGGCAUUAGCACACCCCUCCCCAUCUCCAGGACCCAGGGAGGGCAUUUAUCAGCCCCAGAGGGCUGGGCAGACCCUCAGUGGGCAUUUCUUUCAAACGAUCAUGGCUUCAACCUGACUCAUGAGUUCUCCCUCAAACUUGUCUCUCUGGUGCCCCCACCACUGCCCUGAGUUACCCUUGACCCCUGCCUUUUCUUUACCUGCCUACAGCCAACUCUACUGACUACCUAGAUCCUGAACUUCUCCAUGUCACUUCAUCUCCACUGCCACCGGUCCCAUCAAAGCCCCAUCUUCUUGCCCCUAGGUUACUAAGCUGGCCUCAUCGUUGGCCUUCAUAUGUCCCUGUGAUCCCUUUUCUACACAGCUGCUAGCAGGAGCUUUAUAGACAAAACCAGAGCGUGGCGCUUGCCAUGAGGGCCCGCACCCUGGACCUAGUGAGUAGACCUCAGUGACCUGGCCUGCCACCUCCUGCCUCCCCUCCUCCCAGCCCCUGGUCCCCUGUGCCCUGGCCUGGCUGCUCUCGCCCCCAUUUCACUCGCUGCUUCCCACCUCUGAGGUUUUGCUUGGCAGUUCCUCCUGUGGGGAAUUCUCUUCCUCUAGGUCUGUGUGCAUCUGGCUCCUUUUCACCUAGGCUAAGUGACACCCCUCAAACUGGCCUUUCCUGACCACGUGGUCUAACGUUGGCCUCCCCAGCCCAUGGCCCGAUUCACCUUCUACCCCUUUACCCCGCUUUAUUUACUAUUUCUCGGUCCUCUCCACUGCCCCGACUAGAAGGGCAAGAGGCAAGGACAUUUCCGUCUUGUCCAGUCCACGUUCCUGAGCCCAGGCUGGGGCUGGCAUGGAGACGUUGAUGAAGCAUUUGUUAAUGAGAGAAUUUUGUGGUGCCAUGGACUUCCAGUCGGAAGGGACCUGGGUCUUUUCUUACUGGAUCCUGAGAAGUUCUCUGCGUUUCCAUAAGCCUCCUUUCCCGGAGCAGCAUUUUUUGUCUUGGCAGCUUGAGCCAUUGGACAUUGUGCCAUUCUGACCUGAAAUGAGCUUUUCCAAGCCUUCCACUGGCCCCAGCUCAGUUUGCCGAGCCUGUCAGCUCUCCUGCAGGAAUCUGACCCCAUAUUUGAGAAGAGUGCUGCAUAAUGAGGGGGGAACGGGGCAUGCACCCCGCUUCUCCAAGGUCAAGGAGAAGCUAUCAAAGCCUCUGAUCUCAGUUUCCCCUCUGGCCAUGCUGGGAACCAAGACCCUCAGGGUGGCACUGGGAUCAGAGGAGAUGCUGGCAUGUGCCCGCCCUGGUACCUGGCAUAGGGUUGGCACUUAAGUGUUUUGAGUUUGGAAAAUUGUCUCCAUGAUUUUUUACUCCUCUGGGGUCUCCCAACUGUCAUGCCCUCCCCAGACCUCCCUGCUCCCCUCCACCUGGGGGUGUCUUCCAAAUAAGAAAAAGCAGAGCCCACAAGAUCUUUCAUGCUCAGGUGGGCCCUGGAGCUGGCGGGAGGUAGUGUGGGUGGGGUGCCAAGCUCCCCUGUGGUGAUUUAUAGUGUUUUACCUUUUGGAAAACAUCGCAGUGCAAGGUUGUCCAAGGUCAGUGCCUCUGUUUUUCGCUUUCUUCAUGGGAAGGGAAAAGAGAAAGCGGGCAGCAUUUCCAAUUUUUUAAGGGGCUGGCUCAGAGCCAGCCACAGGCAUCGCAGGAAGGCAGCUGACUGCUCUCCAGCACAUCCCGAAAGUGCUGGAAGGGAGGGAGGAAGCAGCCCUGCGUCUUCAGGAACUAGUGUGUGCCAGACCCAUGCUUGGAGCGUGCAACAGGGAACGGGUGUUGAGAGCUUAGCAUGAGCCAGGCACGGCUCUGAGCACUUUCUCUGGGUUAACUCCUUUAGUGGCUUUAGUUCUUACAGCACCCCUGUGAGUAGGUGCUAUUGCUCCCAUUUUAAAGAUAGUUUAGCUGAGGCAAAGGGAAGUUAAAGAACAUGCCCCGGGCCCUACAGCCAGCAUGGACAUUACUGAAUUCCAGUUUCACAAUUUCUUGUAGACGAGGAUAACUAUGACCUGUCUUUUGUACGUGAGGGUUCUAGGUCUUGGGGGUCUAGUUCAGCCACUUGUUCAAGCUCACACAGCAAGAGCACACAGCAGAGCUGGCUUCUGAGCCCUGGCCUAGUGGCUGCAAAGCAAGGUCUUUCUGUGCUGUGUAACGUGGCCCCUCUCCUCACCUUCUCUCCCCCUCCUCAGCCCUCCAGAAUGGGAGGACUGGGCUGGGGUAAGGGGACAGGCCCGAGGACUGGGAGGGAGGGUGGAAGCUGAGUCAGCCCCUGGAGUCCCCUGGGCCCCUGAGAUUUCUCACCAGUGGGGCCUUGGGCUAUAUGUGAAGGUCCGUGUUUCCAACACACACCCAGGGGAAGAAGCUAAAAUCCCCAUAAACCUUCCGCUCCAUGUUAAGCUGCCUUCUUUGUUAUUGAAUGGUUGUCAGGAAAGACUCAGAUAAAGAGGUGAUGUCUGGGCCCUGCCAUCCUGGAACAGACUCCCACACACUGCGGGAUGAAGUCAGGAGAAGAAGGUCCUGGGCUGGAGCCAGGGCUAACUUGGGGCCAAAGCAGGAGCUGACCCAGCCUGCUGGCCUGGAGCCCACCUGCAAAGCCCCUGUCUGCCUGCCUCAGGGGCCCUCCUGCUCUGUUUGUCCCUCUACCAUCAGGACCUUCUCCAAGAAAGGUUCUGGUGUCCCUGGGAACUGAGAGCCCCUGAAAGUCAGAGUCCUGGUCUCUUCCUGAUUAUCUCUAGGGGUCUACUAUGGCUAUGCUGAUAGAGGAGAAUCCCCCCUUGAAGGUCCACAGAUGGAACUCCAAUUCCAGCAUGACUAUGUCAGGAGACAGGGCAACUUACUGGGCUUCACUUUUCUCAUAUGUAGAAUGGGUACGAUAACAUGGCAGAUGACCAUGGUGGCAGGGGGGUGGUGGGCAGGCAAUGGAUAAGAAAGUGUUUUGGCUAGCUGCCCACAGUUACUAUCCUGUCCUAUAGCCCAGUGGUUUCCAAAGUUCGAAUCAUGCUGGAGUCACCUGGAUCCUAAAAAACACUGAUGCCUGGCUCCCUCCCCCAGGCCUUCUGAUCUAACUGGUCUUGGGUUCCAUUGCCACUGGGGAGUUGUAAAGGCUGCCUGGGUGAUCUAAAGUACAGUGUGGAGAGGGAGCUACUGAGGCAGCCCAUUGCAUCUGGGAGUUCACUGGCCUGUAAGGCAGGAAGGAGAGAGGAGGUCAACAGCAGACCCAGGUUUCUCUCCUGAAUGCCUGUUCUGCUCUCUAGAUCUGUCCUGAUGGUGUCCUGCUCAGAGCCGUGGCUCCCAAAAACCUGCUGUUUGCAGAAUGAGCUUCCAGCAGCCGUCUGGGGAGUGGGGCAUCCCAUGAUUCUUGCUGAUCUCCUUCCCUGGGUCGAGCCUGCAUUGGAGACAGAGGGCAAGUAUGAGGCUCAGGCUGUCCCUGCCCUUCAGGCACUAAUGCAGGGUUUGUUCCCUUCUGAGUCCUCACCUUAAAGGUCAAGGGGAGGGUCAGAGCACUGAUUACCCCUCUACCCAUUGGGGCUUUCAUGUGGACAGUCUCACCAGCUGAAGGGCAGUGGGUGAGAGAGGCACUAUCAGCCCACGGACAGCAGAGCAAACCAAGGCUCAGACAGCUCAAGGACUUGCCUACCGUCUCACAGAUGAUUCGUGGCCAAGUGAGAUAAGGGAGGGGGCAAGUGUCAGAGGGCAGGAAGGUGAUUUAGCAGAGGCAGCCAGUGGGAGCUGGAGUCAGGAUUCCGGGGGCAGAAUGGGCCCAGGGUCCCCUCUGCUCUCCUUCUGCCCCUCUUCUCCAGUCUUCCCCAAAGCAGAGGACAGCUCUGGAUGUCUGGGACAACAGGAGGAACUGUGAGUCUCCAGUUUUAAUCCUGCAGUGGCAGGCUGGGACGAGAGCUCUGACUUGGCUUCCUGGGUUAGGGAAUUGUUAGGUGGAAGUCAGUGGUCUAUUGGAGAGGGAUGGUGUUCUCAAGAUCAGCCUGGGAGGCAGCAGCUGGAUCUAAGGAGGCCCUGGAGGUCAGGGUGGUGCCACAUCACCUUUUGACAGCCACAUGAGUCAGGUGGCCAGGUGGUGGGCUCACAUCACUGUUAAAAAUUUUGAUGCCAAGCUACAAUAGUCCAGCUUGAGCGGGGGGCCAGGAACUUUGUUCUAGGCUCUGCUCACCCAAGUUCCCUCAUUGAACUGGAGGUGAAUUCUCUCACCCAGCCUCACUUUUCCCCAUCUGUAAAGCUAUAAGUAAUGGCUAAGGCAAGUGCAGGUCCAAAACAAGCAAACAAACAAACAAACAAACAACAAACAAAUAGACAAACACCAGCCAUGCACAAAAAAACAACCAGUUGCCAUCAAGUGGAUUCUGACUCAUGGCGACCCCGUGUGUGUCACAGUAGAACUGUGCUCCACAGGGUUUUCAGUGGCUGGUUUUUUGGAAGUAGAUUUCUUCGACGGUGCCACUGAGUGGACUUGAGACUCCGGCCUUUCAGCUAGCAGCUGAGCACGUUACCAUUUGCACCACUCAGGGACUCCAAGUGCAGAUCAACACCUUAUAGAGUGUACGAGGCAUCCCCUCACCCAUGCCUCCCUCCACCCGUGUCCGCACCAAAGCGUCCUGAGCUGCUUAGGCAAGUAGCUCUGAGCACGAAACUUGCAGGCAGAGAUGAGUCAGAAUUAGUCCUGCUUCCAGAGGCUCUUAGUCCCAGUGGGGAAGACAGUGGAUAAAGGAAGCUGUAAGUUCAGCUUCAGAGGGGCCCUUGGAGCUGGCGUGAGA